UGCUCUCACCGUAGAUUAGAAUUCAAAAAAUCUUAUAUCGGAAUACAUCUGCGCUCUCUUUCUCCUUUGUCAAUUCAAUCAGCCUCAUUCGCUUAGGGUUGCUACACUUGGUUAAGAACACAGCGUCGAAGUACUUUGAGGUCAACGUAAAUUUCGAAAGAGGAGGCGGAGGAGACCACAGUGGUGAUUGGACGACCCAAAUGAUGAUCCAUUUGAGCUACGUCUACGAGCAAGGCUUGUUUCUAUUUGAUUCGAUUCAUUGAUUAAUUGGUUUUAAUUGAUUGAAUUAAGUGAAUUCUAUUUUCAAUUUUUAGGUUUCGUCACGAACCUACAAUCUCGAUGCGAAUCUCUGCCUUCUUCAUCUCUAUCAGAACGUGUGAGCACUCAAAUUGUUACACUGAUAUUGGAAAGCUUCUGAAGAUGAAGCUAGAUGAGGUUUUAGCUAGGACCAUGGAGGUAUUGGUGGAUGCUUUUUCUAGUUCUGCAAGGCUGUCCACCUUCUCCUAUACU